CCCCAGAUGUUGCUGAACUACAACUCCCAUGAUUCCCUGGCUAUAUGUUUAAUUGAAAGAAUCAUGGGAGUUGUAGUUCAGCAACAUCUGGGG